rnacentral:rRNA from 1 species
AUACGGAGGAUGCAAGCGUUAUCCGGAUUUAUUGGGCUUAAAGGGUGCGUAGGCGGUUUGCUAAGCGGGAGGUGAAAUGCCGGGGCUAAACGUCGGAAGUGCCUCCCGAACUGGGGGACUUGAAUGACUCUGCCGAGGGAGGAAUGUGUAGUGUAGCGGUGAAAUGCUUAGAGAUUACACAGAACACCGAUUGCGAAGGCAUCUCACGAAGGGUUGAUUGACGCUGAGGCACGAAAGCGUGGGGAUCAAACAGGAUUAGAUACCCUGGUAGUCCACGCAGUAAACGAUGAUGGCUAACCGCUGGGCUUAUCAGUUCAGUGGCCAAGCGAAAGCGAUAAGCCAUCCACCUGGGGAGUACGACCGCAAGGUUGAAACUCAAAUGAAUUGACGGGG